AACAAACGCUGGCGGCGUGCCUAAUACAUGCAAGUCGAACGGUAACAGGUCUUCGGAUGCUGACGAGUGGCGAACGGGUGAGUAAUACAUCGGAACGUGCCUAGUAGUGGGGGAUAACUACUCGAAAGAGUGGCUAAUACCGCAUGAGAUCUACGGACGAAAGCAGGGGAUCGCAAGACCUUGUGCUACUAGAGCGGCCGAUGGCAGAUUAGGUAGUUGGUGGGAUAAAAGCUUACCAAGCCGACGAUCUGUAGCUGGUCUGAGAGGACGAUCAGCCACACUGGGACUGAGACACGGCCCAGACUCCUACGGGAGGCAGCAGUGGGGAAUUUUGGACAAUGGGCGCAAGCCUGAUCCAGCAAUGCCGCGUGCAGGAUGAAGGCCUUCGGGUUGUAAACUGCUUUUGUACGGAACGAAAAGCCCUGGGUUAAUACCCUGGGGUCAUGACGGUACCGUAAGAAUAAGCACCGGCUAACUACGUGCCAGCCGCCGCCGUAACAC
rnacentral:rRNA from 1 species